UCUUCCACGCCUGCGCUGUGCCUCCGGCUGUCGCAGAGCUCCUCACAUGCGGGAGCAACACCGAAUAGGCCAGCCCCUCAUACGCAAACACACAAGAGAGCGAUACAUAUAAAUAUAGGAGUAAGCGAGGCCCUGCUCCACACACCGGUGGAAAACAGAGGGAGAGAAGGCUAAGGUUGCAAGUGUGUGUCUGCGUGACUCAGGCACAAAGCAGUGGAAGCACGUUGGCCACCUUACCCUCCCCAUUUUUCUCUGUCACUGGCCAGCUCUUGGGUGAGGGGUGCGCUCCGCCAAGGCCCGUGGCUCGGUAGCCGUUUCGAGGCACAGUUGACGCCCCUCCCGUUUCAACGCACGCUCUUGUACUGUUUUGUUGUUGUUCCUUCUUCAUGGUGUGCGCGACUGUGUGCGUUCCCUUGUCUGUCUCUUGGCCUUCACCUUAUUAAAGAGGUCAUCACACAUAGCCAAAGGGGGAUAAAGCUGUAGAGAGUCAUUAUAGCAGCGCACGCUUGUAAAAUAUCGAAGAAAAAUCAGCGUGCUGCUGCUGUUUGCCGCCGCGUGACUUGUGCAUGGAAGACCUCUUGUGCGCUGUGCACAUUGGACUCGUCGUACUUGUUUAUUGCUGUUACCUUGUGCACGACUGCAAACUGCCGAUCCCUCUUUCCGGUUGUGUUCUGUGCAUUUAUAUUUAUAUUUCUUUGUUCCUCUGCAUUCAUACAUAUAUAUCUGCAUAUGUAUAUAUAUAUAUAUAUAUAUGUAGUCGCCCUCUGUCCAUUGCACGCCUCUCUCCCCCACCCCCGUUCCUUUCUUCUGUCAGCUUCCAGUGUUCUUUCUUUUUGCCAUAUCGGAUGCUUUGUUCCUAGCAGAAGAAGAGCGGAUCUGGGCAUCUUUUAUGUGUUGUCUGAACUAAUCUAAAUCUUUAUUUUCAUUUGUUUCGUAACCUUCUCGGUGUGUGUGUGUGUGUGUGUGUGCCGUUGUUGUUGUUCAACCCUUCCAGCUCUACUCGGCUUGUGUUUAGAGUGCACCCACCCCGCUCCCUCCCUGUCUUCUUCUUCACCUCCACCUUCCCUCCCUGCCUCCCUCCUUUGCAGUGCUGUCGUUGUUCUCGCGCAGCGACUUGUCUUCCUCUUUAUUAUCGAGUGCAUCGAUCCAGCUUCCUCUUCUGUGCGCUUCUUUUUUAGUCUUCUCUUCCCCUCGGCAAGGAGAUGCUCUCGUGUACGAGUAACUUGUCGAGCGAUGCCGCGGCGGCAAGUGAACCGCCUCCCUCACCACGACCUCGCACUCCUGGUCCCCCUAUCGUCGCAUCCGCCUCUCACUCCUCCAUGCCCUCGAUGGCCGCGACGCAGAUCGUCAGCCGCGGUGGCUCCCCCACGCCGCCACUCACCACCGACGUCGACAUCCGCGGUCCGUUCCUGCUCUACGGCCCAUCGGGUCGCCUGCUGAGUCGCUACGAACCCUCCGACCUCUGGGGGUUGCUCAUUUCGGAGCACACAACGCUGAACUGCACAUAUGCCCAGACUACAGUACGGGUGGGCCGGGCUGGUGGGUGCGAUACCGUCUUGAGCGACCCGCGGGUGAGCAGCACGCAUUUCACCAUCUCAUUGGAGCUAGAACCUUAUGGAAACAGCGACCAUAGAAACCACUGGCGUGGCAGCGGCGUUGGCGGCGGCGACCAUGAGAUACCUUUGCUGCUGCGUCGCUCACCAGAAGGCAGCCCCGUCCAUACUCGAGGCAUGCACACAAACGCGAGCGACGCUAUCGCCUCUGGCGCGGGCGUCCCGAAAAGCGCCGCCUCCGGUGGUUUGACGUCAUCGUCGUCCCUGUGCAGCGUUGCCGCUGCCGAAAAGGGCUUGAACAAGGACGGCCGAUCCGAUGCAAGAGCCCUUUCAGAGACGACGCUGCCUGGUUGGCGAGUGAGUCGUGUAUCGCUCACCGACUGCAGCGCUAACGGCACCUAUGUCAACGACGUGCUCGUCGGUCGCGGGAAGUGCUGUGAUCUGCACUACGGCGACGACAUCAGUAUUGUGCGGGUGCCGGAAAAGAAACGUCCGCGUCGCGGCUCCACCACACCGACAGACCUGUCCAGCGAGGAGGACGAAACGCAACAGGAGUCGGAGAACGAAGUUGCGUGCUUUGCCCAGGGCGAACGUGGCGCAGAGCUGCGGCGCGGAACCGUGGCAGCACCGUCGUCUUCCGCCCACCACGUCGCUCCAUCGUCGCGGGACGCGCUCGCCGGCGGUGGCGCUGAACGCAUGGGAACUGAAGCGAACGAAGAAGGCAGCUCGCCAAGCGGCGACGACCCCCGCGUAACGCAGAUGUUCACGGCGCUCCUCUCCACGCUCUCGACGGAGCACACGUAUGUGGAGCGCUUUUGCUUCCACCUUUACCAUGCCGAGGAGGUGGGGCGAGGCGGCGCGCCCAUCAUCGAGCCCGACACGGUUGUUGCCUCUCAGAGGGCGGCGGCGGGGGAAGUGGAAGCAGAAGCGGAAAGACAGAGGGAGGACAACGAUGAACAGGACAAGUAUAACGAUGUACUCCAGCAGUCGCAACCCGAGCUGAAGCACAACCUGUCGCAACACAAGUCGGUGCGCUUCCCUGAUGACCCGGUUACGGCUUUCGAUCCGCCACCCCAAAACGCCGACAGCGAUGCCGUGGACUCGCCGCCAGCCUCGCUCUCUGCACUUCAGCAUCGUGACCGACGCGCCUCCCUGUCCAUGUCUCCGAUCCCUCCUUGUGCCCUAGUACCGGGUGACACCUCCGCCAGCGCUGCCUUCGCUCCGCAGAGCAGCGCGAACUCGUUGACACUCUCUACGGUAGUUACCCCGCACUCCCUUCUCCGGCCACGUCCGUCCAUCCGGGAGAGCUUCAUCGCCCCAAUCAGCCUUCCCGACCCCGAGGAAUCGACAGCGCCGUCGAACGGAUCCGUGCAUGGCUCCGUCAUGGCCUCCACCUCGGUAAUUCGCUUUCACGAGAGUAUCGGCAUCAGCGCUGCGCUGCGGCGUAAGGCGGCUGCGCAGCGCGCGCUUGCCGCACGCCGCGGGUGCAGCACCGCGAGCAACCAGGCUAACGGCAGCCUCGGUACCGUUGGGGCAAUUAUGAAGGACAUGCCACCGGAUAUUCCCAUUCGCUAUGCGGUACUGCCGCUGCGCCACCUUCAGUGGGGUGGCCGCAUCGGCUUCGGCGCGAGCGGGGAUGUAUUCAUGGGUAUCGACGUCUCGACCGCGACCGUGGUCGCCAUCAAAGUGCUGAAAGGAAGCUCGCUUUUUCAGUCCUCGCAGCCUGCGGACACGACGGUGGCUAAAGCACACAGCAAAACCACUUCAGGAAGGUCAGCAGUGCCGUCGGUGCAGGACGACGGUACGAUCCUCAACUUGUCAAACAUCAGUCUGGGCAACGGUACAGUCACGGACCACCGGGCAUCGUCAGAAGGCUGGACCUGUGCUCCUCCCUCUUUGGCCUCCCCCAUGACGGUGCCGUCGCACCGUGCUACCUCACGGCAGGUGGACCACACGAACGAGGAGUCGAUACAGGUUAGCGAGGCGUCCACACCGCUGACGCCGGCGUCCGCAGUGACCUCGUCAUCAGCCUCCGCGCACGGGAACACCUCCGCAGCGCUGGUAAACACGUCGUCUACCUCUCAUUGCCACACGCAGGUUCAGCAGCAGCAGCAGCCACCUCGGCCGCAGUCACAAGACGAGCACUCUGCCGCACCACUUCUCCGCAAGCACUUGCGAGAGAUUAUCUUUCUGACGACGCUGCAGCACCACCGCAUCGUGCGCUUCCUCGGCUUCCAGUUCAGCGGCGAGGGUCGUCUGUGUCUUCUUAUGGAGUACGUGGCUGGUGGAACCUUGCAGACGCUGGUCAAGAACUUCGGCGUGUUUGAGGAGAACGUGAUUCGCCUGUACACGCUGCAGAUCCUAGAGGGUUUGGAGUACCUGAAACGCAAGGGUGUUGUACACGGUGACUUAAAGAGCGCAAACAUCCUCGUGUCGGAGCAGGGCAGCGUGAAGCUGACCGACUUUGGCACGAGUCGCUUCUUGCGCGCGUGUGCAGCAGAGGAAAAGGGAGCCGGGGAAGCGGCUGGGGCAGACGAUGAGCGACCGGGAGCUGAAGUGCGUCGCGCUCGUCGCCGGGGUGAGUCUCGCGAAGUCCACCACGCACCUGCAGAUCGAGCGCGCAAGCGCUAUCAUCACGGCAACUCUCCUGGCGCCGAUGCCGCGGUGUCAGAAGAUGGCAGAGGAGAGGAUAUCAGCGUCGGCAACUCAGAAGGGUGCGGGGAGUGCUGUCGCGGCGGCAGUGACGAGGACGUAUACCCGGAUGACGUCCACAGCGCCGAGGACAACUUCGAGGAGGACGAGGAGGGAGAGGAGCCCAACGAGGACGACGGUUCGGAGCGUCGCUUGCUCUGCGGCACGCCUCUCUACAUGAGCCCCGAGCUCAUCCGCACACAAGAGCCGACCUUCGCCUCCGAUAUGUGGGCCCUAGGAUGUGUGGUGUACGAGAUGGCGACAGGUGGAGUUUUACCAUGGCGGCCGGUGCACAACCUGAGUGCACCGGCGGUUAUUUGGUACAUUGGGCAGCGGGGCGAAGAGGGCGACGGACCUUCGAUGGAUGACGUUUACACGGAGCGAGACCGCCUGAACCGCGCCAGUACCGACCCGUCGCUUCAUGAGGCAGUGGAUGACUCGUACGACGAAGAAGGCGGAGGGCACCGCGGCCACAGCAGCAGAGGUGGCAGCGUGGGUCGCUGGGAUCGCACUCCAUCCCCUAUGCUGUUGGACCUCCUACAAUCUACGUUGAACAUGAACCCAGCACUGCGCCCCACUCCAGCGGAGCUGCUUCAGCAUCCCUUUAUCCGCAAUGAAGCCUCUAAUGCGGCGCUCGAGCGCUGGCACGCCUUGGUGGCAGCGAACCGUCUCCCCGCUACCCACGCACUGAAGCAGCACGGCGAGGAAGGCGAGGAGUUGAUGUCACAUCGCACGCUGAAGGCUGAGCCUGUCGCGGAUAUCAAGAGUACGCUGAGGUCGGUGCGUGGCAGCGCUUCAAGAGACGGCUCACAGCACGCUCGCGCCUCGCUCUCCCCCGCACGCACGCCGCCCUCACCACAGGCGAUUGAAGUGGAGGAACUGGACGACAACGCCCCCGCCAAGCUAGGCGGCGAGAAUCCACCAGGCACGGCAUCGAGGCAGCAACAUCCUUCGCGGCACCCCCCGGCCCCGCUAGGAGAGCCAAUGACGUCGCCGUCGAUGAACCUUUUGGGCGACCCCUGCGAAGAUGCGGAGCCGUCUUCCGUGUUGCCGCUUCCGCCACCGGCCAGCCAGCCGAAGCCGCAGAUGCCGAAGGCGCAUGCAGUGCAGGUCCCCUCGGUGCUUGGUGCAGGCAGCCCCGACUCGCAGCCGCUCAUCUGCGAGCCCCCGCGGCGGCCAGACAUACGUGGGCGUCGCAUGGAUGCGCCGCCGCCCGUAAUAAGUCAGGCCGCUGCAUCCCCAGAACGCUUCCCCAGCGCGUCGCACGGUGCGGCGUCCCUGCCGUGGUGGACCCCGCAGAGCUUCUCGGCGCCGACCAAGCUGCCCGUUUCACGAUCUCGCGCCUCUGCCUCGGCUCUUGUGGGUAUGCGACAGGCUGAACAGCAGGCGCCGUACACCAUGCCAGUGACGCAGCAAAGCACGAGCAAGUCGUACCUGCGUCAGCAUCAGCUAUUCCUCAAGCAAAACGAGCUCGAGCGUCGUCGAAUCUCUUUUUUAGUGCCGCAAGGUGGACGGCAAAUGAGCGGUCGCCACCGCACCGAAGGGCCGCCGAUACUACAGCAGCAGCAGCAGCAGCCCUUGCCCAUGGCUUCCGCUCCGGCAGCGGCUGGGAUAAUGCCCAUGUGUCCGCCUAGCUAUCAGUACGCGAUGCAGCAGCCCGUGCUGGAAUACACGCCUGGCUACAGCGACUACAAUCCCCAGGUGAACACGCAGACGGUGGAAAUGCGCCUGCCGCCGGGCUUCACAAGUCAGUCGCUCUCCGCCCCACACCAGCAGGGCAGACGGCAGAGCUGGAGCAUCGGCAGCAACAGGGUGUUGGCGGGUGUGCAGCUGCAGAGCGUCGCCUCCAGCCAGAAGCCGCUCUCCCAGCAGCUGCGAGGAAACAAGCCAAAGCACAGCAGCCGGAGAGAGCGCGCGCGAAUCGCGCCGACUACCGCGGCAGCGUCCAACGUCUCGCCUUCACUGCACACCAGUACUCGAAGCCCCGUCAUAUCAAUGAAUUCCAGCCAUGUCAGGGGCCCUGCAGCGGCUGACUCCACACGCGAGAGCAGUGGCCCUGUACUCUCACACACGUCACAGCAAUUUGCGCCGCAGCAACAACUGUCCAUGCAGCAACUGCACCCCGUUGUAGGGGGCUUGACGAUGGAGAUGGACAAUCUUACGAUAUCUUCCCCACUAUUGUCGAGCUUUGCUGCGUCGAUGGCGCCCUUACCGGUGCAGGAUCACAGAUGCGUACUCAGCUACAGCGGUGCACCCAUGCCGGUGGAUCAGCCGGUCUCAAAAUCGCCGCAAGCCCACUGCCAAGGACCCGUUCUUGCCCUUCUUUCGCACCCGCGCCACCGCCACACCGCACACGCACAGUCGGCCACGACAAGCAGCCUCGGUCCCGGCAGCGGAGACGGUGGCGGCGCCGUCCAGCAGGCUUCGCCAGCCAAUGCCGCUGAAGUGGAAGGAGCUGGAAACAGCGCUGCCCAACGGAACGCUCGGCGUGGGAGGCAAGGUCGCCGGAGCGCUUUGUCCUCUUCCAGUCUGCUUCUCCAUCAGAACCGCCUCCGAAACCCACGGCGCGCUUCGCCGCUGCUGAGGCAGCAGCUACACCAGAUGACCUUGACAAGUACUCGCACCUGUGUGGUGGAGCACAGCGACAAACAGGAGCAGCAACAAAUACCGUCUUUGAACGAAGAAGCACCAGCCUCGCAGCAGCAGGAAGAGCCACGCAGCACGAAGCGACCGUGCGCGGCAAGGUCGAAUGGGCGGAGCUCGUCUACCUACACGGCGGGAAAGAAGCGGCGCAUUCGCACAUCGCUGCGCGUGUCCACCAGAGAGGCGAUUCGGCGUCAGCAACAGCGACGUUCGCAGAAGCAGUGAAAAGGCCGUGUCCCGCGAGACGGCUGGGGGACGAGGACACACAUAUGUGCAUCUGUCUCUCUAACUCUGUAUCUGUGUGCGCGCGUGUGUGUUUGUGUGUGUCUGUGUGAGCGGGGGAGGGGUUGUGUCCCGUUGAUGUCUUUGCUGUGUCGUUCUUCCGCGAAACUGAAG
rnacentral:misc_RNA from 1 species